rnacentral:rRNA from 1 species
GCGCCUUGCCAGCCCGCUCAGAAACUCGAAAGGAAUUGACGGGGGCCCGCACAAGCGGAGGAACAUGUGGUUUAAUUCGAUGAUACGCGAGGAACCUUACCUGGGGCUAGAACGCAUUCGGAAUCAGGCCGAAAGGCCUGCGCCAGCGAUGGCCGCUUGCGAGGUGCUGCAUGGUUGUCGUCAGCUCGUGCCGUGAGGUGUCGGGUUAAGUCCCAUAACGAGCGCAACCCCUACUGCUAGUUGCCAGCGGGUCAUGCCGGGGACUCUAGCGGAACUGCCAGCGUAAGCUGCGAGGAAGGUGGGGAUGACGUCAAAUCAGCACGGCCCUUACGUCCAGGGCUACACACGUGUUACAAUGGCCGGUACAGAGGGCAGCCACCCCGCGAGGGGGCGCGAAUCCCGAAAGCCGGUCCCAGUUCGGAUCGGAGUCUGCAACCCGACUCCGUGAAGCUGGAUUCGCUAGUAAUCGCGCAUCAGCCACGGCGCGGUGAAUACGUUCCCGGGCCUU